ACAAUGGCGUGCGCUGCAAG
rnacentral:misc_RNA from 1 species